GUUACAUCGACGCCUUUUUAAACACUAGAUGUCGCUGGUGACAAAGUCUAAUGUGGCAUCUAUGGCUGAUGGCUUUGAGCCUUUUUAGUCAUUUACAUGUAAAAUUCAUAAUUAAAUGUCAUCGUUGAACACUUUCUCAAAUUGCUGAAGGCUUUUUGGGGGAUAUUUUUAGAUGUUUCAUCAACCAAAACAUCACUAAAAAUACAGACCUGUAUUUUUUACCUUUUUUUCUUUUUCUUUUUUUGAUUGUGGACCAAAGCUCUUAAACAAAUUUUUUAUUUUUGUUUUAAUGUGGAGACCCAGUGAAGAGGUUGGAAACAGUUUCAAUUUUGUUUAUUUUUUCCAGAGUGAUGAAACUGCUUCUCAUUUCACUCCAUUCCUUGUUUCAUUUAUUUCGAUUUGCACUUAAGUGAAAAUGGGCAGUUGCACACUUUGCAGCGUUUGGGGACGAGGGGGGAUGGCGGCGUGCAAACUUGUCUUAAUCGUGGCUCUGCUUCAGCGCUUCAUCCAUCAACCUGUAGAUUUCCAAACCUUUUUUGCUUUUAUUUUUUUUUUUUUUUUAUCUUGACAGUGAAAAUUUGACCAGAAGCAUUUCAUAACACCUGUCCUCUCUUCCAUUUCCCCUCCCCUCCUCUUUUUUUUGUUUGUUUUUUGUUUGAUUUUUUGCCUUGCAGUUGCAAAGUCUUAGUUUUUCACGAGUAUAAAUUAAAACACUACUAUCAAAAUGAAUAGUAGGCUCUUAAAUGUCUUCGAUGUUCUGCUGCAGCUUUUUAAUUUCAACUUGUCAGAGAUAUCUCUUAGUUUGAUUUGACACUAAAUGUGAUGCAAAAAGUGGAAAUUCCUUGUCUUCCAAAAAAAACAACAAAAAAACAAAAGAAGAAGGAAAAAAAAACUGCUUGCAUCCUUCUGGGAUCAAGUACGACGAACAACCCCAUCUUUGGAAGUUUUAGUUUGGUACCCAGUUUGCACAUGCUAUGGUAUAUCUGUUACCGUAAGGUUGUGUUUGAAACUGAAGCCCAACGUCUGUUCAGCGUUGAGAGAAGUGAAUUGUAUGUUAGCUAUUUGGUCCAGAGUGAAGGACCUGCGUCAGGCUUGUGAUAUGAAGUGUAAAUCUGUUUUUUUUUUUUUUGGUUUUUUUUUUUUUAUUUCCUCGUUUUUUUCUUUUAUUAAUGUUUAUUUUUUUUGUUGUUGUUGAGGGUUUUUAUUUUUUUUUUUUUUUUUAAAGAUCAGUUAGUGAUCUUAGUACUAUAACUAAGCCAAGUUUGUAAUUGUAUAUUUACUGUAAAAUGUAGAACAUUGAAUAACUAUUAAAAUUUUCCUAUAAAAGGAAG
ensembl:lncRNA